CAGUUACAUUGUCUUGGCUUUUGAAUAGGUUAAUGAGCCCCAGAAUUUAUCUUUAUUUGGGCUUUAGUGCUCACAUUCAUAUUCUACUUUAGUUUUUCUUCCAAAAAUAAAGUUUUGAGGGAAUGAUUUAUUCCAUAACGCAAAAAUCAGAAAGAGACAGAAUCCCUGCUUUGUUACUAAGGGAAGAAGGAGCGUCAGGGAAAGAGGAGGAGAGGCAUGAGUUUGAUGAAUGAGAAACGGCUCCCCCAGCGUCAUGGAUUCCUCUCCCAGGCAACUCCUCACUCACCUUCCCACAGCUGAAGAUGGUCUCGUGAGCAGAAUGGCUGAUUUUCAUACCAGCCCAGGCAGUAGAGGCAAUUCACCAACAUUGAAUCACAGACCAAACCUGAAAAAACUUAGCUCUGACCCAACCAUGUGCCGGAGUUGCCGAUGAUCCUUAAAAUUAACCUGUUCUGAGUCCUCCUGAAGGCCAAUUUUUAUGCAGCUGACCUGCCACUGUGCAGCAAUGGCGCCACCUACAGCUACAGAACAAUGUGCAUGUACUGACGAAAGACCAGCUGAGGAUGAAGAUGUCAUCUAUAACCGUGGAAACACACAACGUUAACCAGUUCUCGGGCAAUCUUAAAGCUAACAUUUCUCCUACAUAAUGUUGAAAGCCUCAGUGAGAUUCCAGUCUCAGAGGACCUUAUUCCCUGCAAGGUAAGGGCCUCAAAAGAGAAAAAACACCCUCUUCCUUUUCCACCCAGUGAGGUGAUAAGGAAGAGGUGGUGUCCAGAGGCUCAGCCACACCAAAUUUUCAAUGAAAGCAAUGAUAGCAGGUAACCCAAAAUCUCAU